rnacentral:lncRNA from 1 species
AUGGCCACCCCACCGCCGCCAGGGCCCUUUCCCCGGCAGGGCCCCAGCCCAGGCCUCCCUCGCCUUGCAGCCCCUCCCACCAGGGGCCUAGUCCCUGUCUCCCCACUUGCUGGGUGUAGGAGGCACACGGGGGCUGUCUGGGGGGGCUCCCACCCCUGUGGGGCUCGGGGAGCCUGGGCAUGCGAGGAGGGACCCCUGUGUGUCCCCCACCCCGGGUGCUCUGAGGGCUCCGGGGCGGGCCCAAGAGGGGUCAGCAGGUCUCCCGCACUCGGCCCCACCCAGCCAGCCUUGCGGGGCCCCCAGGGCCUCUUCCGCCCCGAGUGGCGCACCUGCUCCCGGGCAGCUCCUGGCCCACCCUCGGACCCUGGGCCAGCGACAUCUCAGCUGGGUUCGGCCACUUUGGCCAGAGGAGGCUGGGGGCGGGGGAGGGCUCGGGAACAGCCCAGGGCCCUCAGGCCUCCUGUGCUGCUGGGAGGAGGGUGGGGGGCAGCGGGCGGGGCUGCAGAGGGGCGGGUGACCGAGCCCGGGGCCUCUGGCUGCUCUGUGCCUUCCCCGCUCCAGGCCCGGGCGGGCAGAGGCACCCAGGCCCCCGCGGUGGAGCAGAGUUCCGGCGGGGAGGGCCUGGGAAGCUCCUUCCCCUCUGUGCGGAAGGGAGGUCCCUGCGGAGGGCCUGGGUGCCGCGGGCAUCCACAGGAAAGGGGAUGUGCUGGUGGCUGGCCCGGGGAGCCGCCGCCACGCCCUGCGCGGGGACAAAGCUCCAGGGCAGCCUGCGGGCCCCUGCCCUGCGCCAGCAGCCAGAACCGUGUAUUCCUCUCUCUAGCGACUGCUUCUUGGAACUCACACCCUCUCGGGUUUGCUAUUUUUACCCACCCUGAGCCUUCCGGUCUCCAUGGCGACGCCUCCAAACAGCAGACUCCGGGCGGCAAUGAUGUCACCGUUCCCCUUCCUGGAGCCCAGGCCUCCAAGGCGCUGCUGCCUGAGGCCGAGGGACCCCUCCCACACCCUGCUCAGGCCUCCCCCAGGGAUCCAAGGGUCUGUGGGCCACAGCCGGGCACGGUCAGGACCCCAGGCCAGUGUCCAGCCUUGUCCUGCCCCUUCAAGCAGCCCUGCUGUGGGGUGGCAGGGGACAUCUGA